AUGGCUAUCACGAUAAAGCGAUGUAUUCAGCCUACCCAGUCCAGAGUGACUCCUUUAUGGUGUUACAACGGAGAGGACGACGCAUCUCGUUACAGAUGCAAUGGCCCGGAUACCCCAGCCGAACUGGCCAUAAUCUUGGCUGAUCUUUAUAAGGGGGAGAAAGAAGAUUUUCUCUGUUUAAAUUGCCGGGAAGGCUUUUCCAUGUACAAUCCCAUCGAAUGGUCAUGGAGGAAGAUGGUCGAGAACAUUCAUUGCCUCUCCCCACAGCCAGAGGAUUAUGCUCACAAUGAAGACCCCGACUUCUGA
rnacentral:rRNA from 1 species